GGGCCUGUAGUUCAACGGUAGAACGCAGCAUUCGCAUUGCUGAGAUCCGAGUUCGAUUCUCGGUGGGUCCA
rfam:Candidatus Woesebacteria bacterium RIFCSPLOWO2_01_FTLL_39_10b rifcsplowo2_01_scaffold_9244, whole genome shotgun sequence.